rnacentral:rRNA from 1 species
UACGGAGGGUGCAAACGUUGCUCGGAAUCAUUGGGCGUAAAGCGACCGUAGGCGGCUAUGUAAGUCGGGUGUGAAAGCCCUCGGCUCAACCGAGGAAGUGCAUUCGAAACUGCAUGGCUUGAGUAUCGGAGAGGAUAGCGGAAUUCCCGGCGUAGAGGUGAAAUUCGUAGAUAUCGGGAGGAACACCAGUGGCGAAGGCGGCCACCUGGACGGACACUGACGCUGAGACGCGAAAGCGUGGGGAGCAAACAGG